rnacentral:misc_RNA from 1 species
CUGUUCAUCUUCAUCUCUUUUGAGUUUGUCUCUGUCUCUUUCUAAAGUAUCACCAUGAGAGUAUACCUUUGUCGAAUCACUCUUAUUGUCCCUGGCUUUGUCCCUAUUUCUAUUACUUCGCCUGUCCCUAUCCCUUUCACUCUCCCAAUCUUGGUCCCUAACUCUGUCCCUCUCUCUAUACCUAUCCCUGUCCUUCUCCCUCUCCCUUUUCCUUUCCUGAUCUCUGUGA